ACUUAACCGUCCUGGCCCGCUUUCUUUUUGGAAGUGAGUGCUGAGAUGAGUUAGGUAUCCUUAUUGAGAGCCAGGCCUAUCCUUCACUGGAUUGGGCGUGUGCGAUCAAUAUCAUUUACUUUGAAAAAAUUAGAGUGUUUAAAGCAGGCUUAUGCUGUGAAUACAUUAGCAUGGAAUAAUAAUAUAGGACUUCGGUUCUAUUUUGUUGGUUUCUAGGACUGAAGUA
rnacentral:rRNA from 1 species